rnacentral:rRNA from 1 species
GGGGGGGGGGGGGGGGGGGGGUAGGAGGUGCGGGUCGGGCGGGAGGGCCCUGCUGGUGGGGGGUGCUCGAGUGGCGAACGGGUGAGUGACACGGGAGUAACCUGCCCUUGACUUUGGGGUAACUUCAGGAAGCUGGGGCUAAUACCGGGUAGGAGCUCCUGCUGCGUGGUGGGGGUUGGAAAGUUUCGGCGGUUGGGGAUGGACUCGCGGCUUAUCAGCUUGUUGGUGGGGUAGUGGCUUACCAAGGCUUUGACGGGUAGCCGGCCUGAGAGGGUGCCCGGCCACAUUGGGACUGAGAUACGGCCCAGACUCCUACGGGAGGCAGCAGUGGGGAAUAUUGCACAAUGGGCGGAAGCCUGAUGCAGCAACGCCGCGUGCGGGAUGACGGCCUUCGGGUUGUAAACCGCUUUCGCCUGUGACGAAGCGUGAGUGACGGUAAUGGGUAAAGAAGCACCGGCUAACUACGUG